UUAGUUUCUUAAUUGGGAAAUAGGAUGAAUGGUUUCACUAAAAUAUAGUUUUUAUCCUCAUUUGCGAAAUUUUAAUCUAAGUGAAAAUACUUAGCAGUUGUACUAGGACGAGAAGACCCUAUGAAGCUGGCAAACUAUUAAUACAUAUUCCUAUUAUUUAUUAGUUUAUUUUUUGGGGUAAAAUUUAAUAAUACUAUUAACAUAAUUGUACUAAAUUACAUCCUUUAGGAAUUAUGAAGAAGCUCCUCUAGGGAUAACAGCAUUAUGCUUAAAAGAGUUCUUAUCAGAAUAAGCGUUUGUGACCUCGAUGUUGAAUUAAAUGCUCUUUUAUGUGCAGGAGCUUAGAAGAG
rnacentral:rRNA from 1 species